rnacentral:rRNA from 1 species
CCUACGGGAGGCUGCAGUGGGGAAUAUUGCGCAAUGGGCGAAAGCCUGACGCAGCGACGCCGCGUGAGGGAUGAAGGUCUUCGGGUUGUAAAGCUCUUUCGGUUGGGAAGAAGUUUAUCUGUUUAAGAGAUGGAUAGAUUGACGGUACCGACAGAAGAAGCACCGGCUAACUACGUGCCAGCAGCCGCGGUAAUACGUAGGGUGCGAGCGUUAAUCGGAAUUACUGGGCGUAAAGGGUGCGCAGGCGGGUACAUAAGUCAGAUGUGAAAUCCCCGGGCUUAACCUGGGAACUGCGUUUGAAACUAUGUGGCUAGAGUACAGCAGAGGGGGGUGGAACUCCAUGUGUAGCAGUGAAAUGCGUAGAUAUAUGGAAGAACAUCGAUGGCGAAGGCAGCCCCCUGGGUUGAUACUGACGCUCAUGCACGAAAGCGUGGGGAGCAAACAGGAUUAGAUACCCGAGUAGUC